rnacentral:misc_RNA from 1 species
GUGAAUCAUCGAAUCUUUGAACGCACCUUGCGCUCCUUGGUAUUCCGAGGAGCAUGCCUGUUUGAGUGUCAUGAAUCUCUCAAACUCUUAGUUUCAUUACUGAGUGUUUGGAUUUGGAGGUCUAUGCUGGCGCAAGUCAGCUCCUCUUAAAUACAUUAGCUUGGGUCUUGCAUGUCUGGAUCCUUGGUGUGAUAAUUAUCUACGCCAUGAUGUCCCUUCAAGCCCUGCUUCUAAUCGUCUGAAUAAGACAAUUUAUUACUUGACAUCUGACCUCAAAUCAGGUAGGACUACCCGCUGAAC